ACUCAAAGGAAUAGACGGGGGCCCGCACAAGCAGCGGAGCGUGUGGUUUAAUUCGAGGGUACGCGAAGAACCUUACCUGGGUUUGACAUGCUAGUGGUAGGGAGGUGAAAGCCGACCGACUCUUCGGAGAGCUAGCACAGGUGCUGCAUGGUUGUCGUCAGCUCGUGCCGUGAGGUGUUCGGUUAAGUCCGCAAACGAGCGCAACCCUCGGCGUCAGUUACAAGUGUCUGGCGCAACUGCCCGUGGCAAACGGGAGGAAGGUGGGGAUGACGUCAAAUCAGCAUGGCCUUUAUAUCCAGGGCUACACACACGCUACAAUGGCGCGUACAAUGGGUUGCGAAGCCGCGAGGUGGAGCCAAUCCCGAAAGCGCGUCUCAGUUCAGAUUGUAGGCUGCAACUCGCCUGCAUGAAGUCGGAGUUGCUAGUAACCGUGUAUCAGCACGGCACGGUGAAUACGUUCCCGGGCCUUGUACACACCGCCCGU
rnacentral:rRNA from 1 species